AGCAGCAUGGCGCAGUGGAAGCGCGCGGGGCUCAUAACCCCGAGGUCACUUGAUCGAAACAAGUUGCUGCUA
rfam:Schizophyllum commune H4-8 unplaced genomic scaffold SCHCOscaffold_1, whole genome shotgun sequence.